AUGCACCUUGCCUGUGGGUGCAUCUACAGUUACCUCUCUUCCCGAGUCACUGGAGUCCUCACAGAAAGAAGGCAACAAGAGCUACAGCCAGGAUUUCAAAGGCUCCCUGAGCAGAAGAGGAAAGUGGUGAGGUCACCAGCCGAGGAGUGGAUGGGGAGAAGAGAGAACGGAAACUCAUUGAGAAAUACAUUGUGUCAGCUGGGAAACCGGACAGGGUCAUUGGCCACCAGGCCACGAGGACAAAGGGAGCAGAAUCGAUGAACAGGAUUUCAGAUGGCCGGUCAGUAUGAAGGGAAAUGAUGACACAUUU
rnacentral:lncRNA from 1 species